rnacentral:lncRNA from 1 species
UUAGGAAGAGGAUUCUUCACAUCAGGUGCUAAGUUUGUCGAAAACCUUGCCCACGAUGAUUCCCGAAAGGUUUGUCAAUGUCACAAAAUUUUACAUUAUAAAGUUAAAAGUGCUUCUCGGUCAUAGAAGCAUUUUUUGAAAGAACGAACAUGCCAUAUGCUUCUUCAGGAAGCAAGCACUUGAAUUUUUAAUAAAAAUUAUUAACGUCUUUGUAAUGAAAGCGUUUAACAGCAGAAGCACUUAAGAGCUAAAGUGCUUUCAUUCAUUGGCUGCAGAAUCUACCGAGGUUCCAACCCGAAAAUGUAGAGCACAACAAAACACUAUUCGAGCGAGUUAGUGAUCUUGCAGCAAGGAAAGGGUGCACGCCAUCUCAGCUAGCAUUGGCCUGGGUUCAUCACCAAGGGAAUGAUGUGUGUCCUAUCCCCGGAACCACCAAGAUUGCGAAUUUUGACCAGAAUAUCGCAGCUCUGUCUGUUAAACUGACACCGGAAGAGUUGGCUGAGCUUGAAUCUUAUGCUUCAGCAGAUGCCGUUAAAGGUGAUAGAUAUCCGAACUACUGUAGCACUUGGACGGACACCGAUACUCCGCCACAGUCUUCGUCAAACUUCUAAAAAACAUUAGGAACUAGUUGAGCGGUGGGCAACAGCAUUGCACCUAGUAUUCUAGGCAGGGGCUAGUCGAGUCUUUUUUGUCUUAAUUGAAUAUAUCAUAUAACAAUAAAAACAUCACUCACAUAGUUCUACUUAAUAUAUAUAUAUAUAUAUAUAUAUAUAUAUAUAUAUAUAUAUAUAUAAUGUUAUAAAUAAGAUUUAUUAUGUGGUUGUUCACAUUCUGGAUCAUUAUGUAAUAUCUCAAUAGUUGAACACAUUUCUAUGUAAAUCCUACAUAUCACUAUUCUCUAUUUUCUCUAAAUUUAUUUCUAACAUGUUGUCAGCUUGCGUUUAUUAUAUUUAUUCUGAACUAGAGUCGUAAUGUGAUUUAGAGUUUCUUAUACUCAACCAUUGAACUUCACCAUGCUCAAAGUUGUUAGUUCUUUUUUUACAAAUUUUAAUCGAGCGUUGAAUUUAUUUUGGUAUGAAUUACUUUGGAAUGCUCGCGAUUGUUAUCCCACCUUGUUAUAUAUGUGCGUGUUGGUAAAACUUGGAAGAUAUUGCUGUUUGUCUUUCUCCACCAAGCCUUGCAACACACGAUCAACAUGAAUCUAUAGCAUGUAUAUCUUAUUUCUUUGCUUUUUAUUAUUCUAUGAAUUAUGUCAAUGCAAAGGCCUCUUAAUAUUUUCUUUAACCGGUUAUGCAUCAAUACAUGACAUAAACAUUUUUUUUUAAUAAACGAUAUUAUCUACAUUAAGGACGAGGGAUGAGUUUAGCCUCACAAUGAGCUAGCAAUAAUACAGUUCAAAUUCGCUUUUGGUGAGAAUCGAACCUAAAACCUUACUUACAAAUAAAAAUGAAUAUCAUUAAAUCGCAAUACUAUGUGACACGACAUAAAACAUAUAUAUAUAUAUAUAUAUAUUUUUUUUUUUUUUAAAAAGGGACAACUGAUGGCAAGCCACGGUUAUUCAUCCCUUCCACAGGGACUGGGAAGAUUUACAAAGGUAUUUUAGCCCCCUGGCCACAAGUCUAGCUUUUACACUAGCAACGGGUUUCGAAUUCGAGACCUCCAAUUUUUAGUUUUAAGAAAGCCUCGUACUAUUCGCUUUAGUUAUAAGCAAAUAUACAAAUACUAUCCAAUUAAGAUAUUUUAUUACAAAAACAAGAAUAAUUUGAGUACAUUGAUAUUUUUACACUAAGAGGAAUGAGAGUUCAGCUAAGCCACAUAAUUGGCAACCUACCUCUCACUAAUAAAUUGAAGAGGAAAACCACUAGAUAGAAGUAUUGAGUAGCAACAAGAAAGAUAUUUUGAAUUAUGUUAUUUGUGGUUUUCCGAGAAGGAACACAAACCCUAAAAUUUUGGAAAGCUUUGCGUAAAGAACCUGGACAAUAGGAUCUCUCCUAUUUUGGGGAUUUGGAUUCCAUCCCUGCCAACGUGUCCCAAAUAAAUUAAGAAUUGUGCUAGCCAUAUACCUAUUUUUACUUCUCAAUUUUUUUUUUAAUUUUUGGUCGUUGAAUCGGAUGAAUCGAAGAAGAUUAAUAGUUAAAAAUUAACAAAAGUGUGUAAAUGUAAGAAUGAGUGUGUAAAUAACGAUUUUCUGAAAAUAAAACAGAAAAGUAAGUACCUCUCACUUCUCCAAUCUUCCUCCUCAAAGUCUCACUCACAUGCACUGACUCAUCAUCUCGGCUUCCAAACCCAAGCCUCACUCGCUCUCUCCCUCUCUCUUGUAAAUAAGUGGGAGGACUACUUAUUUCAGAUGGGAUGGGAAUCCACAAUGGUGGGGCUCGAGGCUUGCGAAAUGAGAAACUUCCUCUGUUGUGCGAAACUGGUGGUGAGCAGUGCCCUUGCUAGGCAUGAGAGCCGCGGACUUCACUAUACCAUCGAUUUUCCUGAUCUUGAGGAGAGCAAGAGGCUUCCAACAGUUAUACUCCCUUCUUCAUCCGUGCGAACUUCAUGGAGUUCGCGUCAACUACACAAGCUGCCAUUGUGUUGGGAAGUGCAACUUUUUCGGCAUCUGUUGAAAUCAUAGCGUCUCAAGUUUUAGCUUCCCUUCCAGAACCGUUUUGGCUAGGAUUGAAGCAUCCGAAAUUCGAGCAGCAUCUGUGAAAGCCGCACCAGGUUGCACCAGUUUAUCAAAAUAUUAAUGAAAUAGUUUACAAUUCAAUUUGAAUGUAUAUUUGCUGAUCGACGAACAGUGAAAAAUGUAAAUUUAUCUACUGCAAUCAGCAUUCAGCUGAGAAAGUCAAAUUUUUGUUUCAAAUUUUUUCCAAAGUUUCCCUUUUUUCCCCUCUGAACUUCUUCCCUCCAAAUACUUUAGAGAGAGAGAGGGCCAAAAACAAAAAGGAAAUGCUUAGAGAAUUGUUAUUUAGCUCUAAAAAAAUUUCAUUUUGCAAGUCGACUCAGUCGAGUGAAAUAUCGAGUGAAACGAGCGAGUACCACUUGAUGAACACAUGAACUCGAAUCGUUAUGGAUAAAUAUUCUUAAUCACUCACAUUCAAAAUCGAUUUUUUUUAGCAAAAAUGGUUCAUGAGAUUGGCAUAACUCAUUUCUUUGGUAUUUGAAAAAGAAAAUCGAUAGAAGUGAUCUCUGAGUUUGUCCAUUGUAAAUCAUUUUGGUUAUUUCAUUGAAAAUUUGUCAAUCUCCUCAUUAAGUGAAGGGAUUGAUUUGACAAAAAUACUCACGUGGUUGUUCAUGUAAUAGUUUAACGAGGAUGUUGACAAAUUACUCACGAUUUGACCAAAAUAAUUUUUCGGUGGACAAAUUUAGGGACUACUUAUAUUGAUUUUCAUUGUCAGAAAUCAAAAUUAAGAGUUAUAUCACUCUCAAUGAACAUUUUGACUUGAAAAUCUUAAACAUCUGUAAAGAAAACAAAUUCAAUCCAUGUAGUGAUAAAUGUGGUGCACCAUGGCGUCACUCUUAUCUUCUUUUCCUAAAAACCAACUUUAUGACAAGAGGGUCCAACUUGCAACAAAAAACAUGUUUUGGUCUGUCCAUGAAAAAGAUCUUUCAUGCAAUCCAAUCCGAUGACGUACUGUCACGCGUAAAAGCUAAAAAUUAUGUCGAUAAGUGAUUAAUUGGGAUACCGCUACAACAAAGUAAAGCUUCUAAAAAAUAAAAAGUAGUCAUUAUCUUGAAUAUUAGAUGAUUCAAAGCUCCAAAAUAUUCUAAAAUUAAACACUUUCUAACACUAAUGCUUUAGCACAUUCAAUCACAAAAUCUCAUCGACUCAUUGUAACCAAAAGAGACCUACAAAAGAAAUGCAUAAAUUGAAUUAGUAUCCCAUUUAGGAACACCGACACCAAUUAACAUGAAUCUAACAGAGGUAAGUGAUUACAGAAGGUUUACAUUGUACACUCAGUUAUUAGAAAAAGAAAAAAAAAAAAAGAGCAUACAAAAGGGGAGGGACCAGGAUCCUCUCCUGAGCUAAGGAUGAGGAUCCUCCUCAUCAAGGGAUAUGGACCGUUGGAUCCAACGGUUACAAACAGGGGGGUCCUUUUAAAGUUAUAAUAAUUGUAGCCGUUGGAUUUUCAUCCAACGGCCCACACCCUUUGAUGAGGAGGAUCCUCAUCCUUAGCUCAGGAGAGGAUUCUGGUCCAAAGUGGAGUACCAAAUCAAUUGAGUUAGAUGAACGACGAAGAUGAGAGAGAGGGCAGCGAGGAGGGAGAGAUGAGCGGGGGACGGGGCGUUUGAGACUUUGAGUCUGACGAAGAGAUUGAAAAUUUAGGGUUUUUAAUUUUUUUUUUAAUUUUACAUAUCUUAAAUUAAAUGAGUAAAUGGAUACCCGUUAUAACCGUGGGUAAUACCCAUAAUUGAUGGAUACCCAUUAUAACCGCGGCUAAUACCCAUAACCGCCAAUUUAAAUUUCAUGGAUAAACGGUUAUACUCAUAACCGUUUGUUUGUCUAAGCGGUUAUCCAUAACAGUAACCGUGAACUUUAAAUGAGUAUGUAACCGCGAUUACCCAAACCCAUGGGUAUUUUGCCCAUCCCUAUGUAUGAUAACCAAAUUCAUAUAGUAAUAUGAUCUAGUGCUAGACCCAUCCACUUAUAAGUGAAAACGUCUUAGGUUUGAAUUUGCUAGUUCGAUACCAAUUUUGUUAUGGUUGAUUGGUUCUAUGGCUUAAUCCAAAUCUCUCAUCCUUUAGUGUAAAUAUAUCGUUGUAUCAAAAGAAAAAAUUUAUCAUCCUCUGUUAUAGAAAUUAACUAGACAUUAAUGAACACUUUAGCUUCUUUAAGUUAUAUUGACACCGUUGGAAAAUGCAUGUUUCAACCUACAUCGAAAAUUAGAAAACAAAACCUAGUUUUGGUUUCUUCCCAGGCAAUCUCGUAUUUUGGUUUUAAUCUACUGAAACUGGAAGUCAAAACAAUCGAAGCUAAGACGCAACCAUGUCCAAAAUUAAGUGAAAAAAAGUUCAAAGUUUGAUACACAACACGAGGAAAUUUGAGCACAAAAUGUCUGUUGUCUUAAGCUCAACCAUAAAAAGAUAAUGAUCUGGUUUGGUAUUGCUUUGAAAAAAUACUAAUUUUGUUGUGCCGUAAGAAUAAACUCAUUUUUGCUGCUUCACAUUUUCAGCUUUUUUUCAUCCAAAACUGUGAAAAUAAGCUGUUUUUAAGUGUUUACCAAACAUCUUUUUAAACUCAAUUUUUUUAUAUCUACUUUUUAUAAAAGCACAUCAGUACCAAAUAAGUACUUACGAGUAGUAGUAAAGGCUCCAAGCCUCCAAACUAUUAUAAAAACAAUAGUGAUAUUUUAUCGUCCAAAACUGACAUACUUACUAACUUUCUAUAAUAAAGGUAGGCUCUACCAUUAUAAGUGGGAUCUACCUGCAUUAAAAAAUAUCAGUGUGUCAGUUUUGGUAUAUAUAAAUAACAUUACUCAAUACUAACUGAUAUCAUAGUAUAUCGUUAAUUCUUUUGUGCGUCCUUCUGAAGCUCAUUUAUUUGGUUUUGAUUUCAAUAGAUAAGCUUACCAAGUAAUUCGACUUUUUAAACAACCUUCACUUUUUGAAUUUUAAAGUUAAUCUUCACCAUUCAUUUUCUAAAUUAUUCGUGUCUUCAAGACUAUUGAAAAAAAAAUUACAUUUCUUUUGUCAUAUCGUGUGUCACAUCAUUUAGAAUAAGUGUCCGUUUACUCUCGUGAACAUUUGAGAUCAGACUUGGGUGGCACGUCGAAAUUACUCUGGCUUUUUGCUUACAUUUACUAGUUGCACGAAUGUAAAUGGUACGGGUAUCGUUAGCCGCCGCUGCAUACAUUUCACUGAAAAAUCUUGCAUCUUGACAGACAAGUUUCGAGUUUCCUUUUGGUAAUCGAUAUACGUAUGCUCUUACGCCAUCAGUUGACAACCAAGCCGUAUGCUCUUACGCCAUCACUUCACCACCACGCCAACUCUGUUGUUUAUAUAUAUGAUACAAGCUUAGCUUACUUAUCAGUUCACUUAAUCUGCUUACACAAAUGGCAGGAGGAGCAGGAAUAGUGAAGAGGAUGAAGUUGGGUUCACAAGGCCUCGAGGUGUCGGCUCAAGGCCUUGGCUGCAUGGGCAUGUCCGCCUUCUACGGCGCUCCAAAGCCCGACCAAGACAUGAUCAGUCUCAUCCACCAUGCCAUUAACAGCGGGGUCACCUUCCUUGAUACCUCUGACAUCUACGGUCCCUUCACCAACGAAAUCCUUCUUGGCAAGGUAGGUAGCCGCCAUAUUGUUGGUUAUGAUUUGCGUUUACUUUAAAUUGUAAUCCAUCUUAACUCGUAUUGUAUUGAUAGAUUUUCCGGUUUGUUUGGAUUAAAUGUUGAAUUGGUGAUGAACUCAAGUAGGUUCGAUCAGUCUACAUCCUGUUUUGAUGUUACCAAUUUAAAAAGACUGUGACUGCGUUUUUGCAAAACAAUUUAAAAAGUGCUUAUGGCUCAUUUAAGUGUUUUCAGGAGAAGCGUAUGUCAUAUGCUUUUUUUGGAAGCAAUUCCAAGUGAUUUUCUAGGAAACACUUGAUUUUUUUAAUAAGAAUUUUGACUUCUUUAUAGUAAAAGACCUUAUGAAAAAAAAAAUGUUUGUGAGCAGAAGUGCUUCUUAUAGAAGCAACCCCAAAUGAGAUUGUUGCUUUGUUGUAUUGAGUUCGCUGAUGAAAACAUGAAUUGGGCUUAUGUUCACUAUAUUGUUGCAUUAAUUUAACUGAAUUUACUGAACCAUGAACAUGGUAUUUGGGUUUUGUUUUGGAUUAAUGUCGAAUAAGUAAACUGGUUAUGAAAUGAACUGGCUUUUGUGGGAUUGAUGAGGAGCAGGCUCUCAAGGGAGGGGUACGAGACAAGGUUGAAUUGGCCACCAAGUUUGGUCUCAGAUUUGUGGAGAACAAGAUGGAGGUGGGGAAAAACAUGGAGGUGCAAGGUGACCCUGCUUAUGUGAGAGCUGCUCUCGAGAGUAGCUUGAAGCGCCUUGGUGUUGAUUCUAUUGAUCUCUAUUAUCAGCAUCGCAUUGACACCUCCGUCCCCGUUGAAGUCACGGUUUGUCUUCUUCCCUCUUGAAUUUUGAUCUCCUUUUAAUUACAAACAUAGAACAAUAUGCAUCUGCGUCUGCGAUUCUACGGGCCUAGUAAAGUUAUGGUUAUUUCACCGACUCACAGCUUCCUGUAUCCCUUUGUUAAGUCGCAUAUUUUAUCCUCAAUUUCGUUUCAUUUCGUAGUGUCCAUAUGUAUUUUUCUCAAUGGCAUGCAUCAUGAUUCACUUAUUUUGCUGAAUGCUUGCCGUCCCUUAAAUUCCUUUAUUAUGUCUUAUACAAGGUUGGGGAACUGAAGAAAUUAGUUGAAGAGGGUAAGGUAAAGUACAUUGGUCUAUCUGAGGCUUCAGCUUCAACGAUAAGAAGAGCCCAUGCUGUUCAUCCUAUAACAGCUGUGCAGUUGGAGUGGUCCUUGUGGUCAAGAGAUGUCGAGCAAGAAAUAAUUCCUACUUGUCGGUGAGGUUCACUGAAACAACGUAACUUGUUUACCAAGUCCGAAGUAAUUGUUAAUUCUGAUCUUAGUUUCCUAAACUUACCAGGGAGCUUGGAAUUGGCAUUGUUGCGUAUAGUCCUUUAGGAAGAGGAUUCUUCGCAUCAGGUGCUAAGUUUGUCGAAAACCUUGCCCACGGUGAUUCCCGAAAGGUUUGUCAAUGUCACAAAAUUUUUCAUUCUGAAGUUAAAAGUGCCUCUCCGUCAUAGAAGCAUUUUUUGAAAGAAUGAACAUGCCAGAUGCUUCUUCAGGAAGCAAGCACUUGAAUUUUUAAUAAAAAUUAUUAACUUCUUUGUAAUGAAAGCGUUUAACAGCGGAAGCACUUAAGAGCUGAACUGACGUGCUUUCAUUCAUUGGCUGCAGAAUCUACCGAGGUUCCAACCCGAAAAUGUAGAGCACAACAAAACACUAUUCGAG